AUGAAGCCGGACGGAGGGAGUAUGGUUUUUACGUUGUUAACUGUUACAUGGUGGGAAGAAGAAGAUAUUAAAGCCGAAAAGGAUAACCGUUUGUUGGUUUUCAUUUUUUCUGCUUUCUAUUUUUUGAAUCUACUUUUUUUUCUCUUCAUUUUUUAUGGUGAGAGACCAUUGGUCCAUUGUAAAAAUGGAGAGACAUGA